rnacentral:rRNA from 1 species
CGCAUCUGUGCAUGCAGCAUAUCAAUAAGCGGAGGAAAAGGAACUAACAAGGAUUCCCCUAGUAACGGCGAGUGAAGCGGGAAGAGCUCAAAUUUGAAAUCUUAAAGGGUUUCCCUUUACGAAUUGUAGUUUAAAGAAGUGUUUUCUGUUGAGGUUUUGGUAAAAGCUCUUUGGAAUAGGACAUCAUAGAGGGUGAGAAUCCCGUAUUUGACCUUUACUUUCAACUUUGCUGAUACACUUUCAAAGAGUCGGAUUGUUUGGGAAUGCAGUCCAAAAUGGGUGGUAAAUUUCAUCUAAAGCUAAAUAUUGGCGAGAGACCGAUAGCGAACAAGUACCGUGAGGGAAAGAUGAAAAGAACUUUGAAAAGAGAGUUAAACAGUACGUGAAAUUGUCAAAAGGGAAGCGUUUGACACCAGUGUUGUUUUUCUGAAAAUCAAUUAAAGAACUGUUUAUGCUAAGUUGUUUAGACUUUAUCAGCUAACUGUUUAGUUUUGAGCUUUUCUUUAAUGCACUUUUCAGUUAACAAGUCAACAUCAAUUUCUUUUGCUGUAAAAAAGCUUGAGGAAGGUGGCUUGAGAUUCGUCUUAAGUGUUUAUAGCCUCUUGCCUAUGCAGUCGGAGAGAUUGAGGUCUGCAGCGUAGAUCCUUCGGGGCUAAAUGCAUUUGUGCUAAGUUAUAACAUUUUAUAGACAACUUGUUGACUAUGAUUUGUCUUGUAGCUUACUCGCUUAUGUUAUUUUACCUACGCUUAGGAUGUUGAACGCGCACAGAGUCUC